UUUUUUUUUUUUUGGGCUUUCUGGGUACUUUGAAUUUCUGAUUCUUUUGUUCUUCUCGGGCUUUAUUUUGUCUUUUGCUUUGGAGUUAAAAUACGUAAAACUGAGUUUUAGCAUCUGGGUUCUUUUCUAACUAAUGGUAUUAGCCGAUAUGUGCUGAAUUGUUUUGAGUUUUGGAAUUUUGGGCAUGUGAAAAACUAUAGAACUAUUUGGGGGUGUUUUGGGUAUGUUAAAUUUGUUGAAUUUUUUGGGGUAUCUUUAUUUCUAUUUUUGGGUUACCUGGUGCUUUGCCAUCUGGGUAUAUGAGAAUUUUGCUUUUAGGGAAAUUAAAAUUCAAUUCUUUUUAAUUGAAUUUAAUUUCUUUUUGUAAUUUUUUCAUGGAUUCUGAUUUGUCAAUGGUUCUGUGGUGAUAGAAACUUAAUUGGAGUGUGAUAGUUAGUUUUAGAGAGGAAGGAAGAAGUGGGGACAAGUCUGAAGUAUUGGUGGCUAUGUUGAAGGAAGCAGUGGAUUUGGUAAUAGAUCUGAACAUUUUAAAACAUUUUUUCUGGUUGCUAAUUCUGCUUGUUUGUGGAAAUGGUUCUCUUGUGUUAAAAAUUUGAACUUUGUGAGUGUAGGAAUAGAUAACCGUUGAGGAAGUAUUGUACAAACUCUAGGUUUCUUCAUAAGAUUAGAUACUGCCUUUAAUUUAUCUUGAUCAGACACAACACUUCUACCUUUAACUUCAGCCCAGCAAUAUUAUAAUUUUUUGAUUGUUUAUCUUCAUGGUUAACCCUAGCUAGUUUGUGGAGUAUCAUUGCUGACCUCAAAAUUUAGGAUUAAGGCUUUGUUGUUGUAGGUGGUUAUAUUGCAAAUUCUGAAUGAGUAGGGGGAAAAUGAUCCUAUAUCAUUGUCAUUAUCAAUUUUUAGGUUCCUUUUACAUAUUUCAUUUAUGAAUAAUUGACUUAUAGUUGCUUUUUAUUUCUUGGAAAUGCAGUGACUGAUCUGUGCUGGUAGAGAUAUAAUAGAAAUUCAGCUUUCAAUUUAAGCAAAGCUAUGAUGGAAUUACUAUGAAUGUUCUUUGAUAGUGUUUUUCACGUUCCUUGCAUGUGCAUCAAAACUAGUAAUACAUAAAAAGAGAGACUUUUGCCUUGUGUGUAUUGUAAUAGAAAGGCUGUAGAAGGGCAAAAUGAUAGAGGAGAAGAAGAAGAAAAGAGGGAAACUGGCAACAGAAAUUCAGUGAUUAUUAUCUGCUUCAUCACCAAUUGUAGAGAAAGGGGCACAGGAGGAAUUCUUCUCACAAAUCGCAGAAACUCAGGAUUUUACGUUGUUAGUGGGGCAUUAGAUCUUUCAUGUAUUUCAAUUAAUCACAAAAUGAUUUGUUGAUUGAUGGAUUACAAUAUGCCUCCAUGCUUAGGAACUUGGAGGAAAGAGAGGAGGGAGAAGGGGAAAGGAAGGUUGCAAGUGAUAAUGAAUUGAAUUUCAGGUACUUGUUGAAAUGGCACUAAUUACACUAAUUACCACAUCAAUUUGUAAACAUUUUAUUAAAAAAAAUCUAGUAGUUUUAGCAUUUUUCUAAUUGCAUAUUAGCGCGUUAAAAGUUUGUUAGUGCCAAAUGGACAGCAAUUUGCAUUUUCAUUAAAAAAAAAUUAUUCAUAUUCUGGCCCCCCUCAAUCAAAAUCCUGGUUCCAUCCCUAGCCUUUAGGGUUAUUAAAAGUUUUUAUUAAUAGAAUUUAAUUUCUUAUCUAAUUUUUUCAUGUGAAAAUGCUUGUGAAUAUCAUGUGAAAUGCUAUCCCAAGUGCCAUGCUCAUAUAGUGUACAAACUAAAGAUGGUCCAGUAUGCACUUUCAUGCUUGGGAAUUAUGUGGUCUAUAGUGUAUAAUCUAUACCACUCAAAUAAUUGUGUAUUGCAUUUGCAUACAAGACUCACAGUCUUGGGUAACCCAUAGUCUAUAGAUAGGAGAUAUAGCCUCCUCUGGGCUGAAUCUUGCUGCUAGCAGUGACCAGCAACUCUUCCCUUGCUGUAAUGAGUAAUUUGCCCUCACCUAUAUAUAUAUAUAUAUAUAUAUAUAUAUAUAUUAGCCUGCUUCAUCCAAUUUUUUUUUUUUUUUCAAUCAUCUAGAUCUGAACUAUUGUUGUGCUGAAUGCCUCCUGACAAUUAUUUUUAUGAUGAAUGUUGUCUAAUGAAUUGAAGAAUGUUAGGAAAAGAAACACUGUUGGAAGCUAAUACAAUUUCCAUAGCAUCUAGUUUCACAGUUAAAUAAUGGAUUCCUAACUCCCUAGCUAAUAUCUAACUGCCCAAACUUCAGCGUUGUUUUACAUUUGUAGUUGAACACAAAACCAGUGGCAAUAGUUGCUUGUGUCUAAACAGUGGGUGGAAGGUAUUGUAAGUUUGUAACAGCAAGCACUUAGAGCCAUUUGUACUUAGUAUGUUAGUUGGUUAGAUUGCCAAUUACCAAUUAGGUUAAGUCUUUAAUUGAGCCAACCCAGUGGCUGCUAGUAUAGUGCAGCUUGUAUAAAUAGCAGAUUAGGCUCUCCGCUCUCAUUUGUAUUCAGUUUUUGUAUGUGAAUGAAAUAAGUCUUUUAGAGCUUUUCUUGAACCUUGCAAAGUUAGAGCUUUUCUUGAACUUUGCAAAGGUGCCUAACCAACUGUCAAUUUGUUCUAAGUAACUCACAUUCCUUUUAGUUCAAAUUCAUAUCACAGCCAAUCACUUUCCCUGCAUCAUUUGCCCAAUAGCUCAGUGGAAUCCGUUUACCCAGUUACCCUCUGCAUUUCGAAUAAGUCCACCCCACCAGCCUGGCCUGUGCUCCCCCAGGAGGAUGAUAGAGACAGACACAAAUCCAACAACAUCGUUUCAGGAAAUCCAACUACAACAAUGCUGUUUCAGUAAAACUUAAUACAAACAGAAGCAUUUCAUACAAGUGCCAAAGCCCCAAAUUGUGCUCUGUCUAAUUAUCCCCCUCAGGUUUAACACGUGGUGCAUUUAGUGGAAACAUGUGUUUAAUUACUAAUCACUGGCUGUCAAUCUGUUAAUAGUUCUGUUAGAGAAUUAGUUCUGGUUUACUACCUAAAUUGAUCUAAGCUUAAGCUUAUCCCAGUCCUAUAAAUAGGACUCUUGUAUUGCAUUACAGAGUAUGCUGCAUAAUAUCAGAUUCAGAUUUUUUCAAUCUCUCUCUCUCUCUCUCUGUUUUACUCUUUUGCACAUUCAAUCUCAAACUCUUUCAGUAUCCAUUGGCAUUGAGUUGAACCAGCCCACUGGAGGUCUUACCCAUUUCAGAAACAUAGUAGACCUGGCUGUAGAUGCAUGUUUUGAGGGUAAAUAGGCAAAGUUUCCAUUGCCUGACUUAAACUUAGAUACUGUACUCUCAGGUUAGGGCAUUUAUUGCUGAAUAUUACAGCAUUUCUAUGCAGCCAAAGAUUCCAUAUGCCUGUCAAAAACAUGAUAGCCCAAUGGAUAGAAGAUUGAGCAUGAAUAAUAGAACAAUUGCCAUUCCUUUUGAACCAGGAAUGACAGGGGUUUCCCAAGAGAACCCCGUUUCAUUCUUGUGGAACACAUGAACAAAAAAUAACUCUAAUGGAAUUCUAUGAUCUACGCCACUCACAAUGGUUGUGUAUUGCAUACAGAACUCAGGGUUGGGUAAUCUAUAGAUUGGAGAUACAUUGCAGCCUCCUCUGGGCUGAAUCUUGCUGCUAGCGAUGACCAGAAACUCUUCCCUUUCUGUAAUGAGUAAUCUGCCCUCACCUAUUAAUAAUUUUUUUAUUAUAGCUUUGCUUCAUCCAAAUUUUUUUUCAGUCCUCUAGAUCUUAACUAUUGUUGUGCUGAAUAGGCCCCUACAGUUAUUUUUUUUUUUAUGGUGAAUGUUGUCUGAUGGAUUGAUGAAUAUCUAAUCUUAGAUUCAUGAGAUGUGCCAUUUAUAGGUUGCAUUUGUUAAUAGAUCUUGCUGUUUGAGUAUUAUUUUUGGUGAUUAUACUGUCAUUGGAUGCAACUGAUUAGCAACUGGACUAGACCAAUUGAUGUUAGUUUGAUUUGGAAUGUGAUAAUGGAACUGUGUUUUCUUUUAGUCUCAAAUUUUUUGUUUGGCUUUUGUUAUUUGCACUUUUAUAUGCCUUGUGGAGAAGUUACAUAUGCAGUGAUGGCAACGGGAAACUGAAACUUUCCUUGGUUCUAAAACAGAACAAGACAGAAUAUUUGUUAUGAAACAAGAAAUAAAUCUGAUGGAAUUUAUUUGUUGGAAGGUUUGCAACCAUUGUCUAUGGGAUUCUUGGUAUUUUGGCUUGCACUCUCCACACUGUUUAGUAACCUGGUUAAUGGAAGUGUUGCACUUCUGCCAGCACUCAGCUACCCUGAGACUGAGUUUUACAUGUGAUGAAUGAUUGGUGUCCUGGAAUGCUUUUUCUCUUUCUCCUUUUAAUUAUAAUUAUUCUGAAUUUUUUUUUGGGGGGGUUUAUUUCCAAAUAGCAACUAGUGAACCCAAACUUUGUGUAUUUGUUAAAUUUUAAAAACCUAGAACAUUGUUUAAUAACAAGUCUGAAUCCCUGCAUUUUAUUACUGUUAACCCUCAAGGGGUUGAUCAUCUCUUAAACAAUUAUAUGAUGUCAUUUGACUUCAUAAUUUAUGUUAGAAGUUAACUAUUAUGCCUUUUAGUCAUCUUGAGAUAGCCAUGCUUGCUAACAGAAUGUCUUAUUUUAUAGGUGAAAUAAGGUAAUAUGAUUGCUUAAAUUUGAUAACACUAGAAGUGCUCAAAGGAGGUUUUAAGUCAUGCCAGUCUCCAUCAUUUAGAUUUUGUUUUUUUUUUUUUUGCUGUGGUUUGUUCAACUCUUACCCUUAUUGUUGAUAAGAUUCUCCAUGGUACUAAGUACCAAUGAUCAUGGUAAGUUCUUGCAAGAAAUUGUUUCAAAAUGUGCUGCUCAAUUUUCUAUUAUUCCACUUGUUCCCAAUAUUUCUUCUCUGAAAAUUGCAAAUGAUUGUUCACAACCUAGGGAAAUAGGUGAACAUGGGAUUUUGUAGUGAAGUAUUGAGUACUUAAGUAAUAAGAUAGUCAUAUAUCUUUUGAGGAACUAUAGACCAUAGUAAUAGCUGUGCACGUAGUUAGAGACAACUUUUUUUUCUUCUUCUCCUCUGCUCCUUACUCUCUUUCAAUGUGAUCAGACAUUAAUUAUAUAUACAAGUGGUACAACAGCUAAACCUAAAGGAGUCUUCACCCUUACUGAAGCAUCACUGCACAGGUAUGCACACCAUGUAUCUCAUGUGUUUCAAUACUGUUUGUAAACUACUAUCCUUCAUGUGAAAGAUCUUAUUUUUGUUUGGUAUAACAUAUAUCUGGCCAAUAUGCUUGACUGUAUAUAAUUAUAUGUUUGGGGUGUCAAUAUUUAUCCAUGGACAUUAGUUGAUAUCAAAUGAAAAUCAUUCAUGUAGAUGACUCAUUAGGUAGAAAUCUAACUGUAGAUAAAUGCUCUUCAGAAUGUUUGAUCUGAACAUUUAUUUGUUAUUACCUGUUGUUAGCUAGACUUAUAGUACAAGUGAUGCUGAAAUCACCUUGAUUGAACUAGUGCUUGCAACCAUGUAAUCUGAUGUUUUUGUUUUUUGUUUUCUUUUAAUUAUAGUGUCUUAAUUAAUUUGUGAUUUUUAAAUUGAUGUUUGCCGCAAACAUUGACUGAAGCUUGGGUGUGUACAUACACGGAUCAAUUUUUGCAUUGCCUACCAUUACAUCAUAUCCAUCAUAUUUUACACAUUUAGAUUGCAAAGAAAUUUAUAGUUAGUCAAUCAUCAUACAAUUACAACUUGAGUGUAUGCCUUUCUUGGCUACUUGUGUGAGUUGCUGUAUAAAAUUUGAUUUGGAAUUUCAGUGUUAGUGAUCCUUAACUUAUAAGAUACAUUUUCAUGGCCUUUUUAAUGCUUUACUAGCCCCUCUGUAUGUGGGUUUAACGGUAAUUUAGUUUACUUUAUGUUUCUGUUAAAGUUCUUUUUGUUGCACAACUUUUAGUUGUAAUAUCUCCGAUCAUGUUAUAGAAGGUUGUGGGCAUCAUCGAUGUGUUGAAAUUUGAAAGGCUAUUCUUCAUUGUUUGAUGUGGUGUAUUUGGAGGAAAGAAAUGCAAGGAGCUUUGAUGGGUACGAGAGGAGAAUGAUAGAGCUGAAAGCUUUCUUUAUGAAGACACACUUCUUGAGUGGAUAUCAGGCUGCCAGCCUUAGGGGUGUUUUUCUUCUCUAAUUUAGUUGAACUUUUUGAUUUUUGUAAUUUUAGUGCUUUACCAUGAUGUCCUGGUAGUAUACUCCCUUGCAAUUAUUUUUAUUAAUAAAUUUUUAAUUACCUAUCAAAAAAGAGAUGAAGAAAGUUGUGUA